rnacentral:lncRNA from 1 species
UGGCUCUUUCCUUUUCUUCUUGGGGGCAGGUAUUUCAUGGAUAUCUGAGCAGAACCACACUGACAAGACCUGUUGAUCCAGUUGGCACACAGAUGUCAGUCAAGGACAAGGACCUCUCAAGGGCCGCAAUGAUGCCCCUCCAGGUCUUCGUGAAGGAAUGCUGGGUGGAUAUACAAGACGUAAGGAAGCCAAAGGAAAUUUGGAAGGGAGCCAAAGGUGUUAAAAGAAGAACCUUUCUUCAUCUUAUCAGACUAGGCAGCAAACAGACACUCAGACCUACAACAUGGCUUGCCUGUCCAGUCCUUUUCAUGGUUCAGUGUGGCGGAGUGGGGGCAACAUCUUUUGCCACCAGUGAACAUCCAGAGGGCUACGUUGGAAUACCUGGUUUCCCCCCAGCAUAUCAAAAGAGAAUCCAGGAGGCUCCGUGAGGUGGAUGACUCCUCUUGCCUUCCUUCUUUCCAUUUAUAUAUCUUUAUUUGUGACCCCCUUCAACAUCCCGGCCUGGAAGAAAGUUUCUUGUUUCCAUGCACUGCGGUUUCCCUAAAAUGGCUGCCAGUGUGCAACUUAUUCCGUGGCACCUCCAAAAGAGAAGAUAAAGCGACAGCUGGGAUCAUCUGUUGGCACCCUGCCCAUAUUUCAGAGGAGGCAGAUGAGUGUUUAGGAGUCUUCCUAGAGGAAGCAUCCACCCCUCAGCUGCUUCUGGUUCCUAGUCACUCUGGGACUAACUGAGCUUUUCCAAUCUUCAGGCAGCUCUUUUCAAAUAUUUUGGGAAGAAGCUGCAGGAGGUGCAGGAUCAGGAGGUGGUUCUUGAGUUCGCGCACUCCCUGUUGUCCAUCCACAACAAAGACAACAGAGAGGUGAGAUACCACCCUGUGUUUUCCCCAAGGCCUGGGCAAGCCAUCACUUUCUUAGGCAGUCUUCAUCAACCUGGGGACUUCCAGCCCUUGGGAGAUAUAUGUCUUAUGAGCUCCAGAGGGCUCAGCUGUCUGGGUCUGCCAGAAGUUGUACUCCCACUGGGAUGGAGAAGGCUGCUCUCUUGUCAUUUCUUCUGCUUUUACCCUAAGGUUUCUGGGUCAAUGGGUUUGAUGAAUUAGCCGUUCCCACUUGCCCCUUUCAUGAUACCUUGUUGACGUCCUGGGCAGCAGCCACUUGGAUUGCUUCUCCCCUCACCAUCUCUUUGGCCUUGCCAAGUCACAGCCCUCUAUCCUUUCUCAUCAGUUAAUGAGCAGAAUCACCCAGGACACUCAGAAAGUAGGAGACUCCUCCAAAAGUCUGCCCUGAGGCUCUAGAGGAGUCCCUGGAACUGUGUCCCUGNUUCCAAACCACCAGGCCACCAGCCCAAAGGCCCAUGGGAACAAGGGAGAGGGAUUAUGAAGCUCAGGGAACAAUGCAGUGGAAUUCCUCUAUCGGGGAAUACUCCAUGGAAGCAGAAAUUUCCAAUCCUUUCUCAGAUCAGUAGAGGCUUUGAAACAAAAGGACUCCUACUUCACUGAUGUGCUUCCAUUUCUUCAGGCAGUUGCUGAAGCCCUCAGUCUAACAUUGCAAUGGUGCUAAGGAAUUAUGUUUGCACCAUGACCGGCAGCAAACUUGUUGAGUGGAACGGCACUCCUCAGGUAAGGGUGCAACAGAGAGAAACGAGAUCCAGGUGUUCUCCUUGGCUGUCCAGAAAUUCCCCAUCUGAACCCAGAUUAGAAGAGAAAGAGUGACCCCUUGCCUGGGAUCUAGGUAAUCCCUCUCCCAGAAAGGAUUUGAUCCCAGGGUACCCUGAAGAUCAGGGGAUCCCGUCAGAAGAGCAUUGAGGGAGGUUUGGUGNUGUUACNNANUCUNUUUUGGGUGGACAAAACNUAUAAGNCUGGAGAGGUNUGAAAUCCUGGANGCCUCUUUUGGUUUCUGAAGAUCCAGAUUACAAAAGCCAGGAGCAGAUUCCUCAGAGAUCCCAUCAGGAAUGAAAAGUCAGCUGGAGUGACUGGAGAAAGGUUGCAACACCAAAGGAGACCCAUUGGCAUCAGCCAANGAAGAAAGGUGAUGCAGGGAAUUCCCUGGAUAAGGGCAGCUUGAUCUGGGCAAGAUUUAAUUCGUGGCAUAGCCUUACUAUUGAUAUCUUCUCCUGCAGAGAUUCUCUCUUGGAUUAGCACCGCANUGUGUCCAGCAACAGGCUUAUUACCAUAGGAAACAGAAGGUCAACACNCAUUCCAGAUUGACCUGGAAGAUUCCUGGAGCUCUUAAGGUUUCAAUAUAGUUNUGUUUUGUUUUAAAAAAAAUGUUUCCCUCCACAAGAUUAAAAAAACCCAAGCAGAACUUGGGCUUCCUACUGACAAUAAGAGGCAAAGCAGGAUAUAAAUAAAUCCUNGGAUUGCCUUUUGCCA